CCGAGUGAGGGCCUCUGAGGCCCGACCUCCAACCCUUUGUAAUCCAAACCUCUGUUGCCUCGGGGGCGACCUGCGCUUCACGGCGUCGGGCCCCCGACGGACCACUUCAAAACACUGCAUCUUUGCGUCGGAUUAAAAAAGUUAAUAAUCA
rnacentral:misc_RNA from 1 species